rnacentral:rRNA from 1 species
AACGAACGCUGGCGGCAGGCCUAACACAUGCAAGUCGAGCGCCCUUUCGGGGGAGCGGCGGACGGGUGAGUAACGCGUGGGAAUAUGCCCUUCUCUACGGAAUAGCCUCGGGAAACUGAGAGUAAUACCGUAUACGCCCUUUGGGGGAAAGAUUUAUCGGGGAAGGAUUAGCCCGCGUUGGAUUAGGUAGUUGGUGGGGUAAUGGCCUACCAAGCCGACGAUCCAUAGCUGGUUUGAGAGGAUGAUCAGCCACACUGGGACUGAGACACGGCCCAGCCUCCUACGGGGGGCAGCAGUGGGGAAUCUGAGACAAGGGGGGAAACCCGGAUCCAGCCAGGCCGGGUGAGUGAUGAAGGCCUUAGGGUUGAAAAGCUCUUUCAGCGGGGAAGAUAAGGACGGUACCAGAAGAAGAAGCCCCGGCUAACUCCG